UACGUAGGCAGCAAGCGUUGUUCGGAGUUACUGGGCGUAAAGGGUGUGUAGGCGGUCUUCUAAGUUUGGUGUGAAAUCUCCUGGCUCAACUGGGAGGGUGCGCCGGAAACUGGAGUGCUUGAGCGUGGGAGAGGAAAGCGGAAUUCCUGGUGUAGCGGUGAAAUGCGUAGAUAUCAGGAGGAACACCUGUGGUGUAGACGGCUUUCUGGACCAUAGCUGACGCUGAGACACGAAAGCGUGGGUAGCAAACAGG
rnacentral:rRNA from 1 species